rnacentral:rRNA from 1 species
UACGGAGGGUGCAAGCGUUGUCCGGAAUCACUGGGCGUAAAGGGCGUGUAGGCGGGAAUGUAAGUCGGGCGUGAAAGCCCCAGGCUCAACCUGGGAACUGCACUCGAAACUGCGUUUCUUGAGUAUCGGAGAGGAAAGCGGAAUACCUGGUGUAGAGGUGAAAUUCGUAGAUAUCAGGUGGAACACCAGUGGCGAAGGCGGCUUUCUGGACGAUUACUGACGCUGAGACGCGAAAGCGUGGGGAGCAAACAGG